rnacentral:rRNA from 1 species
CCUACGGGAGGCAGCAGUGAGGAAUAUUGGUCAAUGGACGAGAGUCUGAACCAGCCAAGUAGCGUGAAGGAUGACUGCCCUAUGGGUUGUAAACUUCUUUUAUAUGGGAAUAAAAUGUUCCACGUGUGGGUUUUUGUAUGUACCAUAUGAAUAAGGAUCGGCUAACUCCGUGCCAGCAGCCGCGGUAAUACGGAGGAUCCGAGCGUUAUCCGGAUUUAUUGGGUUUAAAGGGAGCGUAGGUGGAUUGUUAAGUCAGUUGUGAAAGUUUGCGGCUCAACCGUAAAAUUGCAGUUGAAACUGGCAGUCUUGAGUACAGUAGAGGUGGGCGGAAUGCGUGGUGUAGCGGUGAAAUGCUUAGAUAUCACGAAGAACUCCGAUUGCGAAGGCAGCUCACUGGACUGCAACUGACACUGAGGCUCGAAAGUGUGGGUAUCAAACAGGAUUAGAUACCCCAGUAGUC